rnacentral:rRNA from 1 species
AUUGAACGCUGUCGGCAGGCCUAACCCAUGCAAGUCGAACGCGUGGCGGACGGGUGAGUAAUGUCUGGGAAACUGCCUGUUGGAGGGGUAUAACUACUGGAAACGGUCGCUAAUCCCGCAUACCAUCAGAUGUGCCCAGAUGGGAUUAGCUAGUUGGUGGGGUAAAGGCACACCUAGGCGACGAUCCCUAGCUGGUCUGAGAGGAUGACCAGCCACACUGGAACUGAGACACGGUCCAGACUCCUACGGGAGGCAGCAGUGGGGAAUAUUGCACAAUGGGCGCAAGCCUGAUGAAGCCAUGCCGCGUGUAUGAAGAAGGCCUUCGGGUUGUAAAGUACUUUCAGCGGGGAGGCGUUACCCGCAGAAGAAGCACCGGCUAACUCCGUGCCAGCAGCCGCGGUAAUUC